UUGACCCCACUAACGAACCGAGGCCUCUCAUCGGUAAAACGUCCACAAUACCCGGGAUGUAUUCACAACAUUUUAGCCAUUAUCUUAUAUUUUACUAGACGGAUCUCCUUGUUAAUCGUGGAGGAAACGGAUCCUCCGUUUUCAGCCCCCCUCCACGGCGGACCGAACCAACUAUAAACAUGAAGCGUCCUCAGGUGUCAGUUGGACCGGUAAUCAACGCCUCUGCGCAGCGCCACGAACCGCCGUAAACACGAGGGAAAUGUUCUUCAAGCUCUCAGAGAAGUGAAGAUAUGAAGAACAUCAGUGAUUCAUUACAUGUGAUGAAACCUCCACAGCUGCAGGGCACCGAGGCAGAUUUUUAAUUUCUUGGUAAAAACCUUUAAAACGGUGGAUGUGGAUCAACCUCUUCAGGCCCACCGGACCUUCAUCAUUCAGCCGGGGUCAGAAG